GUGCUCACUCUGGCAGCACAUAUACUAAAAUUGGAACAAUACAGAGAUUAGCAUGGCCCCUGAGCAAGGAUGACAUGCAAAUUCGUGAAGCGUUCCAUAUUAAA
rnacentral:snRNA from 1 species